GAUUUCAUUUAGGUGACACUCCUCUGCCAUUCAUGGGCAUUUUUUCUCAAAAUUUUAUUUUCCUCUUGGUGGGAAAUUCCUGAAGGGCUACGCCUACCCCGUCUUCCCAGCACCUGGCUCAGAGAUGCGCACCUAGCAGCCUCUUCAAAGGAGGAUGACAUUUAUGGAUACAAGACUGAAAUCAGCCAACAGAGUCCGGCUGAAGGGUCACAUGCAGCUCCAUGAUGUCACCUGUGUCAUCUCCCUCGAGCCAAUAUCCUGACCUUUCCCAUCCAGGAGGCAUGGUGUGGAAUGUGGUGGAGAGCACCAUGGCUACCUUGCCAGGCCUGGCAUCGCGUGGUGAUGCACAUCACAGCUCCUCUGUGAGGCCUCCACGACCAGGCUGUCUGCUUCAUUCUCUCUACACACACAUCAGCAUAUUUUUGCCAUUUAAACACCAACUGAGACCGGCCAUGGGAGCUGUGUUCCAGUCCCGGGGGAGGAAGUCCGACUGGUGCACCCCCAUCCAGUCUACCUGUGGUGGGGUGACUGAGCACUAAGCCCACUCUCCACUCCGUCAGUAUUUCUGCCCAUCCCUGCUUCUAAGAUCGCCAUUCAACGGUCACCGUGCUGAGGCAGGAUCUGGAGAAGCUGUCACCCAGCUGGCUUCUACUGUUUUCUUUUUCCUACUGGCUUUUGUUUCCAGUUUUUGGGGUCCUCAGCUCUGGGUAAAGUCCUGCUUAACACCAAAUGGGAGCCUGUGUGCUCCAGGAAGCGGAGAGAGGACUGAGGAAGGGGACCCUCAUGUCAUCUUUGAUUCCUCUGGACCACAUGUGCUGAGGGCAUCCUGGAAGUGACAAGAAGUGGAUGGGAAAAUGGUGCUCUCUUGGCUCAGUGCUUCUCAAUCACGCCUGAAAAUUCCUCUGAAAAGGAUUCCUCUGAAAAUUCUGGCUGGCUUUGGUGGAGCUGGGUUCAGGCAUCACAGAAUUUUAGUACCACCCUGGUGAUUCUAGUGUGUAUCCAGGAUUGGGAACGUCUAUCUUGGGCUUCCUUGGUGGCUCAGUAGUAAGGAAUCUGCCUGCUAAUGCAGGAGACACGGGUUGACAUGGGUUUGAUCCUUGGGUGGGGAAGAUCCCCUGGAGAAGGAAAGGCAAUCCACUCCAGGAUUCUUGCCUAAAAAACCUCAUGGACAGAAAAGCCUGGUGGGCUACAGUCCAUGGUGUCGCAGAGUUGGACACAACUUAGCGGCUGAACAGCAACAUCUUGGCUCUGGUUUGUGGUUGUGAAAGAGAGUUAGAAAUGCCAGGGUGAGCUCCAAGGGUCAGCUCCCAGAGAAAAUGGCUUGUCUUUUUGUCUGUCUCUUGCUCCUUUAUCGUUUGACUUCCCAUGAACUCCCGUGUGGCAUCUGUUUUCUACUGCCACCGUGUAUCGGUGGCAUCAACGCAUGAAUUGCACUCUAUGUCCAGUUUUUGAGGAUCUUCUAACGAAGGGUGUGUAAGGCAGUUUAGGGGGCUGGAGCAGUUCUGCAUUGAUGCCAGGUC
ensembl:lncRNA